UACGUAGGGGGCAAGCGUUGUCCGGAUUUAUUGGGCGUAAAGAGCGUGUAGGCGGCUAGGUAGGUCCGUUGUGAAAACUCGAGGCUUAACCUCGAGCUGUCGGCGGAAACCAUCUGGCUAGAGUCCGGAAGAGGAGAAUGGAAUUCCCGGUGUAGCGGUGAAAUGCGCAGAUAUCGGGAAGAACACCCGUGGCGAAGGCGGUUCUCUGGGACGGUACUGACGCUGAGACGCGAAAGCGUGGGGAGCAAACAGG
rnacentral:rRNA from 1 species